CACUCCUACGGGAGGCAGCAGUGGGGAAUUUUGGACAAUGGGCGAAAGCCUGAUCCAGCAAUGCCGCGUGAGUGAAGAAGGCCUUCGGGUUGUAAAGCUCUUUUGUCAGGGAAGAAACGGUGAAAGCUAAUAUCUUUUGCUAAUGACGGUACCUGAAGAAUAAGCACCGGCUAACUACGUGCCAGCAGCCGCGGAAAUACGUAGGGUGCAAGCGUUAAUCGGAAUUACUGGGCGUAAAGCGUGCGCAGGCGGUUUUGUAAGUCUGAUGUGAAAUCCCCGGGCUCAACCUGGGAAUUGCAUUGGAGACUGCAAGGCUAGAAUCUGGCAGAGGGGGGUAGAAUUCCACGUGUAGCAGUGAAAUGCGUAGAUAUGUGGAGGAACACCGAUGGCGAAGGCAGCCCCCUGGGUCAAGAUUGACGCUCAUGCACGAAAGCGUGGGGAGCAAACAGGAUUAGAAACCCGUGUAGUCCCAUGAU
rnacentral:rRNA from 1 species